GGGGUUGUGGCUCAGUGGUAGAGUGCUUGCUUAGCAUGUGUGAGGCACUGGGUUCAAUUCUCAGCACCA
rnacentral:tRNA from 1 species